rnacentral:sRNA from 1 species
UCUGGCUCAUUACAGAUUUCAUGUGUGCUCCGGUGUACAGCUCAUCUCCAUCUGGCGAUAGUCUGUCCUGUGAGGUUUUGUGCCUCGGGGAAUCCAAGAUGCCGAUGGCCAUCCUACUGAGCACCGGCUGAGUCUCCAUCGUGCAGACUGUCCAGUGGCAGGAUCUCUUACUUGGGAAAUGGAGCCACCCAGACGGAGUGCAGGACCAGGAUGUUGACGGAGUUACCGUCAUCACAUCUAACGAUAUCCUGAAGAAGACAAUUGACAGUGGUACCUUAUGUGUACAUUUUGAAGAGCUCAGUCAGCUGUACAAUGAAAAGCUCACAUCUGGAGGAGAAGAUGGGCGGAUCCUACCCUUACCAGGCAGAAGGGAAAUGGGAUUCUGAUGGAGUCCUGGAAGACGGCCAUCGGGGAUCUCUACAAGAGGGAUAAAGAGGAGUGACAGGGAGAGCAUCCUCCAGAGCUCAGGCCUCCCCUUGCAGUACCUGUUGACCUUUCUGAUGCUUAGGGACCAAAGCAUCUUCAAGAAGAGAUCUAUAUGCACGUAGUAAGAAAGGGCCUGGCCUAAGGAAUGAUGCCUCUCACAGUGGGCUAGGACUUCCUACAUCCAUCUCCUAUAGACAUGCUCAGCCUGAUCUAGGUAAUUUCUCAUUAAUAUUCUACCUCUUCUCCUUUUAAAGACAGACUCUUACAAAGCUCAGAUUGAGCUCAAAAUUGCUAUGAAACUAAGAAUGAUCUUGAAUUCCAGACCAUCCUUGCCUCUGCCUCCCAAGUGCUGGGGUUACAGGCACGUGCACUGCUGAGUUCAAUCAUAUAAAAUCAUUUUGGGAAGGUGGGAAAGAAAGAAAGAGGCCAUGGAAGAGGUUGAUGCAGCAGGAAGGGAAAGAAUGCUUUGAAUAAGGAUGGAGGUGAAUGUAGUCCUUGCUUGGGCCUAGCAAAAGGCAAAAGGCCCUCAGAGAGGAGGCAAGCACUGAAUUCUACAGAGAAGGAAGAGAAAUCCUUAAGUAAAGAUUAAAAU